AGUGAACGCUGGCGGUAGGCCUAACACAUGCAAGUCGAACGGCAGCACAGUAAGAGCUUGCUCUUACGGGUGGCGAGUGGCGGACGGGUGAGGAAUACAUCGGAAUCUACUUUUUCGUGGGGGAUAACGUAGGGAAACUUACGCUAAUACCGCAUACGACCUACGGGUGAAAGCAGGGGGUCUUCGGACCUUGCGCGAUUGAAUGAGCCGAUGUCGGAUUAGCAGUUGGCGGGGUAAAGGCCCACCAAGGCGACGAUCCGUAGCUGGUCUGAGAGGAUGAUCAGCCACACUGGAACUGAGACACGGUCCAGACUCCUACGGGAGGCAGCAGUGGGGAAUAUUGGACAAUGGGCGCAAGCCUGAUCCAGCCAUACCGCGUGGGUGAAGAAGGCCUUCGGGUUGUAAAGCCCUUUUGUUGGGAAAGAAAAGCAGCAGGUUAAUACCCCGCUGUUCUGACGGUACCCAAAGAAUAAGCACCGGCUAACUUCGUG
rnacentral:rRNA from 1 species